AGCAGCAUCAAGGUCUGGCUGUCUGGAGGAAACAAAAAUGCUGCACACACGAUUCCAAGCCAUUUCCCCCUGGUGUGCUGCUGAGGACUGUCGAGCAUCCAGGAUCAAGAGGGAUGCCAUGCCACGGCAAGAAAUGGGACUGUGGUUAUGAUUUUAAAAACCUUAACAAUGCAGCAGCAGCAGCAGCAGCACGCCUGGCUCCAGCUGAGCAGAGCUGCGUGGCAGGAGCAGGUCAGAGCGAGCUCCCCUCGCCCAGCAGGCUCGCUCGCUCGCUCGUGUGCGACUCUCUCGGCCACCAAGCCGAGGAGGGCACCGUCCGCGAGGGGGGCGAGAGCGAGCGAGGGAGGGAGACCACGCCAGCCAGGCGCAAUGCCGUGCAGCAGCAGCAGCAGCAGCAGAACCCGCAGCGCGGCGGCGGCGGCGGCGGCUACUCACCAGAGCUUCCUCUUUAAGGGCAUCAGGCUGCCCCGGUUGGAGGCGGUCACCCCGAUGGCCAUCUGCAAGACAGUCAGAAAUUCCUGAUCCAGCUCUUGUGCCAGCAGCAGGAGGAGGAGGAGGAGGUCCAAAUGAACAGGAUUUACAGAAGAGUUAUUAAUUUAGAUGUGUUAUUUCUCACCUUAUAUUACAUUCACUCUGAUGGUAUUAUUACAAUUUUAGACAAAAAAUGAUAAAUGAAUUGAUUACUGCACGGGCCAUAGUUUUCUGACAUGCAAAACAGAAGAACUGUAUUUUCUCUUGGAGGUAACAGAACCUGCUAUUCGAUAAAGACUAGGAAAUACUUCUGCCUUCUGAUUACAAGUCUUCCUAAAUGUAUUUGGGAUUGAGAGAAUCCCAGGCCCUAAGUAGGGCACCUGGCUUCCUGGCCUCGGAUAGUCUCAGAUUAACUGUCUCCCCCUCUGCCUAUUUGACACAGUUGGAAAUACCAAGCCACAGAAGGGCGUUCACCCUUGCCUGUUGUCACGGCCUUCCUUCUGUUGCUCUGGAAGGCAAAUACAAAAAGAUCCCACUCACAGAAAGGCUUUGCCCCUGUGACUUGGGGAGGUGGAAACCAUUGAACAUGUACUCCUCUCUUGCCCCUUUUAUAAAGACAGCUGAGACAAGCUCAUACUCCCUCUACUUCUCAGAUACCCUGGUCGCCCUAGUCAAGACUACAAAAAUAUGUUGCUCUCAAAUGAAAACCGGACCUUCAUCUACAACGCUGUCAGGUUCUGUGUGGCAGCAAGCAAGAUCAUCCAAACCCUGACUGCCAGCCCAUACAGAUUUUUAACUACUGACUGUUUUACUUGAUUACCCUACUUUAGUUAGUUUCACUUCACAUUUUAGCUAUUGCCUUAUGUGCUAAAUAUUUUAUAUUUUUUAGAUGCCUUUACUUUUAUAGAUAGUUGUAUAUCACUAUGGAUAACUAUAUAUUUACGCUUGCUUUAUCUCUAUUUUAUUAGUCUCCCCAGAAUGUUUAGUGUUUUAUUUUAUAAAUCAUAAUUUAUAGUCUAAUUAUAGUAUAUUAAUAUUUAGUAACUUAGCUGUAAUUAUUUCAUGAAAAUUUGGUUUAUAAUAAUUUUAAUGUAAUAUGAUUUUAUUGCCACAUGAUCUUUUAUUUUACUGUAUCUGUAUUAUAUCCUACGCUGCUCUUUGACUGUAAUAAAGAUGAUUGAUCUCUUGA